GGCUCUGUGAUUAACUGCCUGGAUUGGGCAAUCUACGCUAUUCCGAUUUCUAUAUGAACAAUGAGAGCU